UACGAGGGGGGCAAGCGUUGUUCGGAAUUAUUGGGCGUAAAGGGCGCGUAGGCGGUGUCGCAAGUCCGUGGUGAAAUCUCUAGGCUCAACUUAGAGACUGCCGCGGAAACUGCGGUGCUUGAGUGUGGGAGAGGUGCGUGGAAUUCCCGGUGUAGCGGUGAAAUGCGUAGAGAUCGGAAAGAACACCAACGGCGAAAGCACUCUGCUGGGCCGACACUGACACUGAGAGACGAAAGCUAGGGGAGCGAAUGGG
rnacentral:rRNA from 1 species